GUGGCGAACGGGUGAGUAACACGUGAGCAACCUGCCCUGGACUCUGGGAUAAGCGCUGGAAACGGUGUCUAAUACUGGAUAUGAGCUCUCAUCGCAUGGUGGGGGUUGGAAAGAUUUUUCGGUCUGGGAUGGGCUCGCGGCCUAUCAGCUUGUUGGUGAGGUAAUGGCUCACCAAGGCGUCGACGGGUAGCCGGCCUGAGAGGGUGACCGGCCACACUGGGACUGAGACACGGCCCAGACUCCUACGGGAGGCAGCAGUGGGGAAUAUUGCACAAUGGGCGGAAGCCUGAUGCAGCAACGCCGCGUGAGGGAUGACGGCCUUCGGGUUGUAAACCUCUUUUAGCAGGGAAGAAGCGAGAGUGACGGUACCUGCAGAAAAAGCGCCGGCUAACUACGUGCCAGCAGCCGCGGUAAUACGUAGGGCGCAAGCGUUAUCCGGAAUUAUUGGGCGUAAAGAGCUCGUAGGCGGUUUGUCGCGUCUGCUGUGAAAUCCCGAGGCUCAACCUCGGGCCUGCAGUGGGUACGGGCAGACUAGAGUGCGGUAGGGGAGAUUGGAAUUCCUGGUGUAGCGGUGGAAUGCGCAGAUAUCAGGAGGAACACCGAUGGCGAAGGCAGAUCUCUGGGCCGUAACUGACGCUGAGGAGCGAAAGGGUGGGGAGCAAACAGGCUUAGAUACCCUGGUAGUCCACCCCGUAAACGUUGGGAACUAGUUGUGGGG
rnacentral:rRNA from 1 species